UCUCUCUCUCUCUCUCUCUUUCUCGCUGUCUUUCUCUCUCUCUCUCUCUCGCUGUCUUUCUCUCUCUCUCUCUCUUUUUCUCUCUUUUUCUGUCUUUCUUUCUCUCUCUCUCUUUCUCUCUUUUUCUGUCUUUCUCUCUUUCUCUUUUUCUGUCUGUCUUUCUCUCUCUCUCUUUUUCUUUUCCUCUUUCUCUUUCUGUCUUUUUCCCUGUCUUUUUUUCUCUGUCGCUCUUUCUCUGUAUCUCUUUCUGUCUGUCUUUCUCUCUCUCUCUUUUUCUCUGUAUCUCUUUCUGUCUUUCUCUAUUUUUCUCUUUCUAUCUGUCUUUGUCUCUCUCUUUUUGUUUUUCUUUGUCUCUCUUUCUCUUUCUGUCUUUCUCUCUUUUUCUGUCACUCUUUCUGUCUCUCUCUCUUUCUCUCUUUCUGUAUCUCUCUGUCUGACUCUCUCUCUCCCUCUCCCUCUAACUCUGUGUGUCUGUUUCUGAGUGUGUGUGAGUGUCAGUGAAGUGGUGUGUGUGUGUGUGUGUGUGUGUGUGUGUGUGUGUGUGUGUGUGUGUGUGUGUGUUAAUUUGGCUAGAUGUCACACUCAAUGAUGGACUGAUAAAAGAGAGAUAGAAAACCAGUGGACUGACUUCCUUCCUUCCUUUCUUUCUUUCCUUUAAUUGAGUUCACCCCACUCCUUUCUCUCUCUCUCUCUCUCUCUCUCUCUCUCUCUCUCUCUCUGGUGGUCAGUGUGAUUAUAUCGGUGUGACCUGCUCAGUGUUUAGUGUUUGCUUAGGGUUUGACAUCAGGAAGUCCUUUAUUGACGUCCGUCCCUCCAGGGGGCGGAAAAAGAGGGAGGGGGUAGACGCCUGAAAGGUUAUUUUGUGUGUGUGUGUGUGUGUGUGUGUGUGUGUGUGUGCGUGCAGAUGUCUAAACGAAAGCCGAUUGAAAAAAAGGAAAAAGCCCGUAAACCGUAAAGUAAUUUCAUUCCCUGAUUAUAAAUCUGAUUUGAUGAAUCGUUCGCGUGAGUCAUUUAGAAUUUUAUAGUGAAUCGGGGUUCCCCCCCCCCUACUUCUGAGUCCUGUUUGGAAACCAUGUUUAGAUAGAGUGCUGAAGCACGUGCCCUUGUGUCCCCUACUUCAUCAUAUACAUCGACACGACAAAACUUCCUCCAAAACGGCGAAGGAGUCGUUUGGGAGCUGAAAGACUUGACUCUUAUAGGUGCACCGAGUCAAAUGAUCCGAUUCGCAGAAAAGAGUGUUACUCUCUUCCCAUUAGUAUUUGCAUUAUUUAACUUGCAUCUAUUUCAAUUUCGACUCCACUUUGUCGCAUCGCUAGCCCCGCCCACUUCGCGUCACUGACGGACUGCUGUUCACAGGAAGCUCGCAGGGAUUACGAUAUCGCGUAUCGGGAUACCGAUUAUACGAUCAUUUCACUCGUUCUUACGUGCAAGAGCGAGGCGUAGAUGAUUAUGAAAAAAAAAAACACACACACACGAAAAUGAUAAUUCCUCAAAUGAUAAUGAGGCAACAAAAAACAACUCAAUGAUACAUAAUUAUCAAAUUAUCACAUUUUCUGCUCUGUAAUAACCAAACCUAUUUUUUAUGGCCUAUUUUUCUGGUUUUAGCACAUAAUAAUAAUUUUCCUCCUGACCAUCUGGCACAUUAAUGGUGAAAAAUUGUGAAAGGAUAAAAAAAAAGGACCCUCCCAAAUAAGGAGCGUUCGUGCUGUAGCACAUUUAUCCAGCAGAUGGGAAAGGACUAAAUUAACGUGGGGGAAAAUCAGGUUUUAAUAAGCACUCUGUAACACGCCGAGGCGCCUUCGACGGAAAUGUUACGGUGUAUAUGUUUAUAACCGAGUCCCAGCUUUCCACACAGCGUUCCGCUUUAAUUCGUGUUUUCCCAGAUCUGACUCAUCAGUUAAAAUUCUUGGAAGAGACGUUCGCAUUCCUGCCUGCUCGGAUCGGACCGGCGUCUCGUCGCAGGCUUUGACAAGAUCGGAUUUUUUUCCAGGCAUUUUAUCAGAUAACAUUUUUCUCUCUCGCUCUCUCUAAGUGCUGUACAUUCUGGGUCAGAUCUGGCGCUGAUAGCGGGAUGUUUUGUCUCUACGCGGUGUCUCAUACUCAUACACACAUCUCGGUAAUAAUCAGUUCUACCAUCCUCCCUCAUCCUCCUCCAGCGGCGGACUAAUUGGAGCGAGUCUGUGUUCUGAAAUUUGUUUUUGUAUAAUUGAUGUUUUGUCUCGCUGUAAUUACGGAUCUGGAGCUGCGUUUCCAUAAAAGCGGGAUUGACUGAGCUGCUUGGAAAACAACAGAUUUGGAAGACGACGGCACAUUACGGCGUUAAUCACCUUCCGAAUCAAACGGUGUGUGACGAGCCUGAUGGAGGAGCUGCUUACACACGCCGAAAUGGCCGUGUUUGGACUUCCAGUUCUCCGUUUGUGUUUUGUUUUGUUUUUUUGACUGCUCCAGGGGCUCGUUCUCUAACUGAGAUGUUGUAUUAGCAAGAAAAAGUGUGCAUGGGUAUGUGUGUGUGGGUAUGUGCGUGUGUGUGUGUGUGUGUGUGUGUGUGUGUGUGUGUGUGUUUCUGCAGACUGUUUAUGCCCAGGUCCCUCCAUUACGCCAGACCAAAUGGUUAUUUUCAGAAACCGCACAAAUCUGAACAUUGUCCUUUCACAUAAAGAUAUGUUUAAUAGGUUUAUGAGUAAAGUCCAAAGGAUUCACAGCCCAUUAUAUAAAAGCCCCCCCCCC